rnacentral:rRNA from 1 species
GAUUAACGCUAGCGGCAGGCACAAUACAUGCAAGUUGAACGGGAUAAGUUUAGCAAUAAACUUUGAGAGUGGCGCACGGGUGCGUAACACGUAUGCAACCUACCCGAUACAGGGGGAUAGCCUCUCGAAAGAGAGAUUAAUACCCCAUAACAUAGAGUAUAGGCAUCUAUAUUUUAUCAAAGUUCCGACGGUAUCGGAUGGGCAUGCGGUUGAUUAGCUAGUUGGUGAGGUAACGGCUCACCAAGGCGACGAUCAAUAGGGGGUCUGAGAGGAUGUCCCCCCACACUGGUACUGAAACACGGACCAGACUCCUACGGGAGGCAGCAGUAGGGAAUAUUGGUCAAUGGGGGCAACCCUGAACCAGCCAUGCCGCGUGCAGGAAGACUGCCCUAUGGGUUGUAAACUGCUUUUGUACGGGAAGAAAUGUCACUAUGCGUAGUGAUUUGACGGUACCGUAAGAAUAAGGAUCGGCUAACUUCGUGCCAGCCGCCGCCGUAAAAC